rnacentral:lncRNA from 10 species
AGCAAACUGACUGAAAUCAAGUUUCCAGAAGUGAAUGUUCCUCAGCCGGCUGCUCUGGCAACAUCGACCUCUUUGCUCAAACACACCAAGUAUUCUCCUGCCUUCUCCAGAGUGCACAGCCUCUACAACAGCAUGGCGUGCUCCUUUACAUCAUUCCAGGAUGCUCUGAUCUCACCUCCCCAGAGAGGCCUUCCCCAAAUGCUCUGCAGAAAAGAGCACCACUACCUGCCCUUACCACUCUCUACCCUGAGUGCCAUGGAGACACUGCAGAAUGAUUUACUACUGCCGGUCCUUCUGGGCCAGCAAAAGAAGGGGACUUGUCUG